CCCUUAGAUGUUCUGGGCCGCACGCGUGCUACACUGAGUGGAUCAGCGGGUCAGGUUGCGCGAAAGCGUUUCCUAAUCUUUAAAUCCGCUCGUGAUGGGGAUUGACGGUUGCAAUUUUCUGUCAUGAACGAGGAAUACCUUGUAAGCGCGGGUCAUCAUCCCGCGCUGAAUACGUCCCUGCCCUUUGUACACACCGCCCGUCGCUCCUACCGAUUGAGCGUUUUGGUGAGCACUCUGGAGUGCAGCAAUGCAUAAAUGAAUGCAAACCUGAGCGUUUAGAGGAAGGAUAAGUCGUAACA
rnacentral:rRNA from 1 species